GGCGCAUCCCCGGGGGACCCUGCGCACAGGGUUGAGAGGUGGCUGUCCGGCCACGACCCGCUGAACCUGAUCCGGCUGACACCGGCGUAGGGAGGGUAAGACCGCAGCCC
rfam:Sphingomonas laterariae strain LNB2 genome assembly, contig: Ga0138991_119